AAAGACUCUCUCAUCGCUCUCUCUCAGACUCGCUCUCCCACACACAGGUCCAUCACCAAAUCACUCUCAGAAAAUUCACUCACACACACCUCACUCCAUUUCUCUCAUUCACUCAUCCGCCUCACUCAUUAACUUCCCAACCAUCUUCAUCUUCUCCUCCAUCAUUUUCCGACGAGAAAUCCGCCGUCUUCCACCACAUCACCACUACAAUCCAACAAACACUCACCGUUCACCUUCAACCAACGACACCGCUCUCACCGACAAACCCAUCACCAACCUCUUCAACUCCAAAACCCAUAACCACCGUUAAACAACUACACCUCCACGGAUCUUCACCGUCAACCAACAAAACAACCAUAUUUCGCCGUCAAACCCUCAUCACUAUCACAAAACCCUCGCUUUCCUUCGCUACACAACUCCAACAGCCGCAACCUUGCUCCUCCUUCACACUUCGAUUCCGAUUCACACUUCAGCUACUCUCACUCAAAACCACCAACUGAUAUUUGCUCUGCAAACGUUGAUCUAACAUUUCUAAAAUUCAUCUGAUUCUAUUUGUAGAUGUUGUUUCUGCAGGUGGUUCUGUUUGUUAUGGUGUUGGAUCCAACAUCCAUCUUGGUCGCAGGUUUCUUAGUACCGCCAUCGACGUGUUCUUAAACCAACACCAACAACAAUUUUCCGAUCUCCAUUUACUCCUCCCGCACCGGCGACGUCCCUCUCAGACUUCACAACUCAUCUACACGGGUCGACCACGACCGUAACGGUUCCGCACUCGGUAGGAAUAUUGUUGCAAUGUUAAACUUUUUUAAAUAUCUGGAUUCUAUGUUACAUUGCACCAUAUUUUCUACUUU
rnacentral:lncRNA from 1 species